AUGUUGUAUGAAAGGAGAGGAGGCUAGCACUCCCCUAGGCAAAGACGGAUGAAACUCUUGUGCAAUAACAACCAUGUGUGUGGUUAAGGCAGUGUCGUGUGCUUUGGGGCAUCUGGUAUGUGUGUGU